AAAUCAAAUAUCAGGAUCAAUUGCUUUUUUAACCUAUUCUCGGUUUAUAAUAACUAAAAAAUAAUCAGUGGCCAUGUUUAUCUACUAUUGCUAUAAAAUUCUAUGUAACCACAUACUUGGUAGCUUGCAACAACAAGCAUUUAAAAGCUUAAACUCAGAACCGAUACACUGUCCUUUCUACCUAUAUCCAUAUUGAAACGAGGCCACAUGGUUAAGUUCAACAUCAAUUGGUAGAAAGACUUUCCCGUAGAGGCUGGGAUGGAGAGAGUAAAAUAGAAUGUUUUCUGAACAAUGAUCUUUUCUCUAUGGUGCUAAAUGUGGCAAUUUUAAUCAUUGUAUCAGGAAUAUGCUCUGAGUUCAUGUAAAAAUUGCUUAAAAUUAUUAAAGAAUAAAUUUAAAAGAAGGGGUGCUAAAGACCCCUAGUUUGGAAUUAUUUGACUGGCUAAGAGGACUUUGCUGCAUUCCCAGAGAACUGCAGAAAAGAUAUAGUACAGAUUUUGUGAAAAUGGUAAAACAUAAGAAAUUACAGUGUGUCUGCAGAAUUGAAGGUUAAUAAGAGUUCCAAAUACUCUUGUGGUUCAGAUCACUCUAUGCACUGAUCAAUGGGGCAUUGCUUUGCUUGAAAUCAGAGUCAUCUUUGAUCAGAUGUUGGCUAGAGGAACCUACACCUGAGAAGAAAACUGGAAGUUUGAGAAAAUACCUAGGAAACUGAUGCUUUUUUAAGAAGAGAAGAAAGCAAUGUGAUGAUGGAAGCAGAGAUUGGAGCUACACACUUUGAAGAUGGAGGAAGGGGUCAUAAGUGUGGGAAUACUGACAGCCACUAGAAGCUGUAAAAGGCAAGGAAACAGAUUGUCCCCUAGAGCCUUGAGACGGGCUGUGGCCCUGCCAAUACCUUGACUUCAGCCCAGUGAAACCCAUUUCAGAUAUCUGGUCUCCAGAGCUGUAAGAGAAUACAUUUAUGUUGCUUAAGCCCCCAAGUGUGUGGCAAUUUGUUACAGCAGCCACCGGAAUCUCAUACAGAUGGUACCUGAGAGAGCCUGUAAAGUUCCUAAAUUCACCUGCAGAUUGGAAGACUCUGCUCUGCAAACAAUCAUCACGAAAUUUUGUUCAAUAUUUGAUUAAAUGAGUUUCUGUAGGAACUAAGUGUGGCUUGGGCUGUACUCAUUUGGGGCAGUUGUUUGUGUUGAAAACUAGGAAUGGAGGCUUUCAGCUUAUUGUGGGUUGAACUGUGUCCACCAAAAAGAUAUUGAAGUCCUAACGCCCAGUACCUGUGAAUGUGACAUUAUUUGGAAAAAGAGUUGUUGCAAAUGAUCAAGUUAACAUGAGGUCAUUAAGAUGGGUUCUAGUCCAAUAUGACUGGUAUCCUUGUAAGAAGAGGGCAUUUGGACAGAGAGACAAGCAUGUGGGGACAAUCCAUGUGAAGAUGGAGGAGGAGCUUGGGGUGAUGCCACAGAAACCAAAAAACGGCAAAGAUUACCAGCAAACCACCAGAAGCUAGCAUAGAGGCAUCAACGUUUUCUCCCUCACAGCCGUUGAAGGAACCAACUCUGCUGACACUACCUCCAGAACCUUGAGACAAUACAUUUAUGUUUUUAAGUCACCCAGUUUGUGGCUUUGUUGUGGCACCCCUGUGAAAUAAAUACACAGAUAUCGAUGAGAAUUUGUGCAUCACAGCUUCUUUACCAACUGUAUUCAGGGCAGCUAAGCUCUCAGGUCCUCCUCAUUAUUAG
ensembl:lncRNA